rnacentral:rRNA from 1 species
GAUCAUGGCUCAGGAUGAACGCUAGCUAUAGGCUUAACACAUGCAAGUCGAGGGGAAACGGCAUUAUGUGCUUGCACAUUUUGGACGUCGACCGGCGCACGGGUGAGUAUCGCGUAUCCAACCUGCCCUUUACUUGGGGAUACCCCGUUGAAAGACGGCCUAAUACCCGAUGUAAUUCAUUGAUGGCAUCAGAUAUGAAUAAAAGAUUUAUCGGUAAAGGAUGGGGAUGCGUCUGAUUAG